UUUCCAGACUCCUACGGGAGGCAGCAGUGGGGAAUAUUGCACAAUGGGGGAAACCCUGAUGCAGCGACGCCGCGUGAGUGAAGAAGUAUUUCGGUAUGUAAAGCUCUAUCAGCAGGGAAGAUAAUGACGGUACCUGACUAAGAAGCCCCGGCUAACUACGUGCCAGCAGCCGCGGUAAUACGUAGGGGGCAAGCGUUAUCCGGAUUUACUGGGUGUAAAGGGAGCGUAGGUGGCAGGGCAAGUCAGAUGUGAAAACCCGGGGCUCAACCCCGGGAGUGCAUUUGAAACUGUCCAGCUGGAGUGCAGGAGAGGUAAGCGGAAUUCCUAGUGUAGUGGUGAAAUGCGUAGAUAUUAGGAGGAACACCAGUGGCGAAGGCGGCCUGCUGGACGAUGACUGACGUUGAGGCUCGAAAGCGUGGGGAGCAAACAGGAUUAGAUACCCCCGUACA
rnacentral:rRNA from 1 species